rnacentral:snoRNA from 1 species
CAUUAAUUCUUUAACAAAAUUUUUUUUAGUGCUUGGAAGAACUAAAGAUGAAAUGGUUUGAGGCCUUGCACUGUUCCAUCCAGAGCAAAGUUACAGAAAUUUCAGACAACU